UGAUACAUCUAUAAUACUCCAAAGGAUCAGAUCGCGCAUGAUCUUGGAAGCUAAGCAGGGUCAGCCCUGGCUAGUACUUGGAUGGGAGACUCUCAAUCAAUCCAGGGUUAAAUUUCAA
rnacentral:rRNA from 11 species